UACGUAGGGUCCGAGCGUUGUCCGGAAUUAUUGGGCGUAAAGGGCUCGUAGGCGGUUUGUUGCGUCGGGAGUGAAAACUUACAGCUUAACUGUGAGCGUGCUUCCGAUACGGGCAGACUUGAGGUAUUCAGGGGAGAACGGAAUUCCUGGUGUAGCGGUGAAAUGCGCAGAUAUCAGGAGGAACACCGGUGGCGAAGGCGGUUCUCUGGGAAUGUACUGACGCUGAGGAGCGAAAGUGUGGGGAGCGAACAGG
rnacentral:rRNA from 1 species